rnacentral:rRNA from 1 species
AUUGAACGCUGGCGGCAGGCCUAACACAUGCAAGUCGAACGAGUGGCGUACGGGUGAGUAAUGUCUGGGAAACUGCCCGAUGGAGGGGGAUCACUACUGGAAACGGUAGCUAAAACCGCAUUCCAUCGGCUGUGCCCAGGUGGGAUUAGCUUGUAGGGGGGGUAAUGGCUCACCAAGGCGACGAUCCCUAGCUGGUCUGAGAGGAUGACCAGCCACACUGGAACUGAGACACGGUCCAGACUCCUACGGGAGGCAGCAGUGGGGAAUAUUGCACAAUGGGCGCAAGCCUGAUGCAGCCAUGCCGCGUGUAUGAAGAAGGCCUUCGGGUUGUAAAGUACUUUCAGCGGGGAGGCGUUACCCGCAGAAGAAGCACCGGCUAACUCCGUGCCAGCAGCCGCGGUAAUUC